rnacentral:other from 1 species
AUUUCCCUGCUGUGUUCGUGUAGGCAUACAUUCCUUUGAACCAAUAAAGUUUGCUAUAGGUUGUCGGGAGUUGUAACAGGAGCGAGUGUUCCCCCGUUGGAAUGCACCCGAAGUUACCCGAGAUGACCGCCCUUGUUUAACAAGGUUCAAGCGGACUCAGCCGAAAGCGGCACAAGCGGGGUUCUA